ACAGGGUGACAGGUGGUGCAUGGUUGUCGUCAGCUCGUGUCGUGAGAUGUUGGGUUAAGUCCCGCAACGAGCGCAACCCUCGACCUUAGUUGCCAGCAUUCAGUUGGGCACUCUAAGGUGUCUGCCGGCUAAAAGUCGGAGGAAGGUGGGGAUGACGUCAAAUCAUCAUGCCCCUUAUGACCUGGGCUACACACGUGCUACAAUGGGCGGUACAAAGGGUCGCGAACCCGCGAGGGGGAGCCAAUCCCAAAAAGCCGCUCUCAGUUCGGAUUGCAGGCUGCAACUCGCCUGCAUGAAGCCGGAAUCGCUAGUAAUCGCGGAUCAGCAUGCCGCGGUGAAUACGUUCCCGGGCCUU
rnacentral:rRNA from 1 species